AUUGUAGGCACUCAGUAAUGUUGAAUUGAAAAGUGGAAGGCCCAUGAGCAGAUCAGUUGCUGUGGAACAAGGGGGUUGAAGUUAAGUAAAUUUCUAAGUGAUGAAGAAAACUUGAAACUGUUUGGGAAAUGCAACAAUCCAAAUGGCCAUGGGCACAAUUAUAAAGUUGUGGUGACAGUACAUGGAGAGAUUGACCCUGCUACGGGAAUGGUUAUGAAUCUGGCUGAUCUCAAAAAAUAUAUGGAGGAGGCGAUUAUGCAGCCCCUUGAUCAUAAGAAUCUGGAUAUGGAUGUGCCAUACUUUGCAGAUGUGGUGAGCACGACUGAAAAUGUAGCUGUUUAUAUCUGGGACAACCUCCAGAAAGUUCUUCCUGUAGGAGUUCUUUAUAAAGUAAAAGUAUACGAAACUGACAAUAAUAUUGUGGUUUAUAAAGGAGAAUAGCUAUUGGGGUUAGCAUUGCACAAAGCCCAGUUUCUUUCUGUGUUUGAAAAAGAUUUUGAUCCCCUUGGAAUAUUAAGAGGUCAACACGUGAUUGUUGUACGUACACAUUGUGCUCUGGAGUGCCUAUUUAUUGAAAUCAUUGUAAGACCUGUUAUAAAUUUAAGUCUAUUUAAAACUAAACUUGUAAUAUACAUCCUGAAAAUCAUUUAGAGAGUCUUUUAUUUAUAAAUUAAAAAUCACUUCAUUUUCACAAAA
rnacentral:lncRNA from 1 species